CCUACGGGGGGCUGCAGUGGGGAAUAUUGGACAAUGGGCGAAAGCCUGAUCCAGCCAUGCCCCGUGUGUGAAGAAGGCCUUCGGGUUGUAAAGCACUUUCAGUGGGGAAGAAAGCCUUGGGGCUAAUACCCUCGAGGAAGGACAUCACCCACAGAAGAAGCACCGGCUAACUCCGUGCCAGCAGCCGCGGUAAUACGGAGGGUGCGAGCGUUAAUCGGAAUUACUGGGCGUAAAGCGCGCGUAGGCGGUCUGAUAAGCCGGUUGUGAAAGCCCCGGGCUCAACCUGGGAACGGCAUCCGGAACUGUCAGGCUAGAGUGCAGGAGAGGAAGGUAGAAUUCCCGGUGUAGCGGUGAAAUGCGUAGAGAUCGGGAGGAAUACCAGUGGCGAAGGCGGCCUUCUGGACUGACACUGACGCUGAGGUGCGAAAGCGUGGGUAGCAAACAGGAUUAGAUACCCCGGUAGUC
rnacentral:rRNA from 1 species